rnacentral:misc_RNA from 1 species
UCUUGUGGGUGCCGACCGUUGGUCGGCACAGACCGCAGAAUCCCGACGCCAGACGUUCGUGCCGACCAACGGUCGGCACCCACCAAG